AACAUUUUAAAUAUGAUCAGGGGAUGUGUGUGUGUGUGUGUGUGUGUGUGUGUGUGUGUGUGUGUGUGUGUGUUUUCAGAGAGAGACAUCAGCAUUCUGUGGUACCAUUUCAUAAUGUAGAGUGUGUAAAAGGGAAGGAAUUUGGAGGAAUCAGGCUCCUUCCAGUUGGACAUCAACUUGACCGUUGUUUUCAGCUCACUUUUGUCUGGCAGAGUUUCUGUUUGCUUUUAAAUGUCAGAAAAGGUUAAGAAACCUUUGAAAUCUGCAACAGAUUUUCUAGACUUAUGAAGUGGAUGUCCACCCUAUAAUAACAUAAAUUAAUCACCUCUCCUCACUUUUGAAAUUGCCUUUUAAAGGAAACAUAUCUGAAGAAUCUAAUUCAAGACAAAAGAAUUCAAAUAAAUGCUCAUUUGUGGGUCUGAGUAUUUGACUUCAGAGUAAGAGGACCUAGUAACAUCCAAAGUUAUAUUUCUCAAUCCAAGUUAUAUUUCUCUCUGUCUUUAUCAUCGGUCCUAACUCACAUUUUCCCAAAUCAUGUAGAUUCAAGAGAAAAUAUUGUGGCUCAGAGAGCAUUAAUAUAUCCUUCCCUUACCCCUAUCUCAAAAGCAUCUGCAGUAGUGAGGGACUUAAGGCCCCUAAGUGACUAGUGAACCUCCUCUAUGUCUAGAAGGUAUUUUGUUUACUAUCACUGGUGUCUAGUACAAAUGCAUGGGGUGACUGAGCAGCCACGAGCUCUCCAAGUCUCAGUAGACUUUCCUGUACAUUAUGUGCCAGCCUGCAGACCACCACCAGGGUGUACAGAAAAUAUACAUCUCUGAGAUCAGGUGUUAAUAACUAACUUUAUAGUUUGAGAUGCUAUUCUGACAUACAUAAGCUCAAUACUUCCAAGAAUCCAUCACCUUCGAAAGGCAGAGGCUAAGUCUGGGUGCUCACAGAGGAUAAAAGCCUGUGAGAUCUCAGGCCACCUGUUCACCCGAGUGCCCACAGAGACACACUUUGAGCAUCUGCUUAUCAGUAGCCAUCAGUCCAAGUAGAUUGCUGCUGAAUUGU
rnacentral:lncRNA from 1 species